AUACGUAGGGGGCGAGCGUUGUCCGGAAUGAUUGGGCGUAAAGGGCGCGUAGGCGGCCCGGUAAGUCUGGAGUGAAAGUCCUGUUUUUAAGAUGGGAAUUGCUUUGGAUACUGCCGGGCUUGAGUGCAGGAGAGGUAAGUGGAAUUCCCAGUGUAGCGGUGAAAUGCGUAGAUAUUAGGAGGAACACCAGUGGCGAAGGCGGCCUGCUGGACGACAACUGACGCUGAGGCGCGAAAGCGUGGGGAGCAAACAGGAUUAGAUACCCUGGUAGUCCACGCUGUAAACGAUGAAUACUAGGUGUGGGGGGACUGACCCCCUCCGUGCCGCAGUUAACACAAUAAGUAUUCCACCUGGGGAGUACGAUCGCAAGAUUGAAACUCAAAUGAAUUGACGGGG
rnacentral:rRNA from 1 species